UACGUAGGGUGCGAGCGUUGUCCGGAAUUACUGGGCGUAAAGAGUUCGUAGGCGGUUUGUCGCGUCGUUUGUGAAAACCCGGGGCUCAACUUCGGGCUUGCAGGCGAUACGGGCAGACUUGAGUGUUUCAGGGGAGACUGGAAUUCCUGGUGUAGCGGUGAAAUGCGCAGAUAUCAGGAGGAACACCAGUGGCGAAGGCGGUGCUCUGGGCCGGAACUGACGCUGAGGAGCGAAAGCGUGGGGAGCAAACAGG
rnacentral:rRNA from 1 species